AUUAGAGUUUGAUCAUGGCUCAGGACGGACGCUGGCGGCGUGCUUAACACAUGCAAGUCGAACGAUGAAGCCCAGCUUGCUGGGUGGAAGAGUGGCGAACGGGUGAGUAACACGUGAGUAACCUGCCCUUCACUCUGGGAUAAGCGCUGGAAACGGCGUCUAAUACUGGAUAUGCACCAUGGCCGCAUGGCCUGUGGUGGGAAAGAUUUAUCGGUUCGGGAUGGACUCGCGGCCUAUCAGCUAAAUGGUGAGGUAAUGGCUCACCAUGGCGACGACGGGUAGCCGGCCUGAGAGGGUGACCGGCCACACUGGGACUGAGACACGGCCCAGACUCCUACGGGAGGCAGCAGUGGGGAAUAUUGCACAAUGGGCGCAAGCCUGAUGCAGCAACGCCGCGUGAGUGAUGAAGGCCCUAGGGUUGUAAAGCUCUUUCGGCCGGGAAGAAAUCGCGCUCUUUAAUAGAGGGUGUGGAUGACGGUACCGGACUAAGAAGCACCGGCUAACUACGUGCCAGCAGCCGCGGUAAUAAU
rnacentral:rRNA from 1 species